UCUCUGACCUGCUCUGACACUCGCCUGCCCUCCCUGUUCUGACCCACCGACCUGAACUUGGGUCCAUUUAUACAGCAGAGACCAGCUCUAACAGCAAGAGGCCAGAAAGGCUACUGGAGUCCCUCAGAGUUGCUGAUCUGCUCUGACACUCACUCGCCUGCCCACCCUGCUCUGACCCACCUGAUCCUCACACCCGCCUGGUUACCUUUUCACCAUUUUGAGAGGAGAGGCCCAAGUCCAACAGUGAGAGUCAGAAAGGCAGUUGGAGGCCCUCGUGGUCACUGACCUGCUCUGACGCCUGCUCAUCUGUCUGCCCAACCUUCUUUGACCCACUUGAUUCCCCC